CCCUAGCCGUCAAUUCCUCUUCUCGUCCUCCUAUCUCUUGUCUCUCUCCCUGUUUUUUUCUUAGUCACAAACGCUUAUGCCUUCUCCUAUCUCUCUUUGCUUUCGGAUUUCUCUCUUAAGCACAAAGCUUUUUUCAUAUGUAAUUUUUGAAACUUAAUAUUGUUAUCAUUUUAACUAACAAAUGUUUAUUUGGUAUUUUACAGGUUCAUCUUUAUCAUAUUUUUUCAAGGAGUUGGAUGGAUUCAAGGAUACAUUAUAGAAGAUUUAUAUAAUUUUAUCUUAGUAAUCAAAGGCUUCAAAGAUAAUAGAAGUUGUUUUACAGAUGAAGGACCAAAGAGUUGCAGCUUGAAAGAUAAUAGAAGUUUUUUUUACAGAUGAAGGAUCAAAGAGUUGCAGCUUGAAAGAUAAUUGGAGUUUUUUUACAGAUGAAGGACCAAAGAAUUGAAGCUUGAAAGAUAAUUGGAGUUUUUUUACAGAUGAAGGACCAAAGAAUUGAAGGAAAACAUAUGAACAAGCAUACAUGAGUUGGACUUAGUAGUGAGAAGAUUUCAGUAUUUGUGUUUAUGUGUGUUUAUGUGAUUUUUUAAUUUUUUAAGAACUUAAUAUGGACUGAAUUUUAUUGAAUUUAUUGUGUUAUAAUUUUUUA